UGAUAUGAUUUUUUUAAGGCUUUUCCAUUCAGAUCAAGUAGAAGCUUUACUGACCCGUCGUCACCAUCACCAUCCCUAACAACCCCUUACCCAAAACAAAAGAAAAAGAAUACAGCAAAUGCCUAAAUGUAGGGACAAACUGUUGAUGAUUAACAUACCAGUUGCUCGAGAGGCCUUGAUGACAAAACCAUUAGGUUUCAUUCUAAUAACAUGAGUGAAUGUUCUCACGUAAUCUUUAUGGUUCAAUAUUUCUCUUCCACCUACCAAUAUGGUAGCACAAUAUUAUAUUCAUCUUCACUACCUGCAAUUCCACCAUGAAUAUUAUACAUCUUUAUGUACUGCAUGUUGUAAAAAUUCCCAAAAUUUAGGGGAGCAACCUGUGUACAUUAACCAGCGCAACAAGCAGCAUCGAUCUCAUGAUGAUUGGAAAAAUUCACAUGACAAGGAAAAAAAAAAACCUCUGACAGGCAUUGAAGUGUGAGGUUGUGUUAACCAGGCACGGGAAAUAAUUUGAGGAGUGUCUCAAGCUAUCAAAUGAAAGGGCCCAAUAAAUUACUUCA
rnacentral:lncRNA from 1 species